GUCCACGCCGUAAACGAUGGGCACUAGGCGUCGGGGGGAGCGACCCCCUCGGUGCCGUCGCUAACGCAGUAAGUGCCCCGCCUGGGGAGUACGGUCGCAAGACUGAAACUCAAAGGAAUUGACGGGGGCCCGCACAAGCGGUGGAGCAUGUGGUUUAAUUCGAAGCAACGCGAAGAACCUUACCUGGGCUUGACAUGCUGGUGAAAGCUCGUGGAAACACGAGCCCCUCUUCGGAGCGCCAGCACAGGUGCUGCAUGGCUGUCGU
rnacentral:rRNA from 1 species